AUUGAACGCUGGCGGCAUGCUUUACACAUGCAAGUCGAACGGUAACAGGCCGCCAGGUGCUGACGAGUGGCGCACGGGUGAGUAAUGCAUCGGAACGUGCCCAGUCGUGGGGGAUAACUACUCGUAAGAGUAGCUAAUACCGCAUCCGAUCUAUGGCUGUAAGCGGGGGACCGUAUGGCCUCGCGCGAUUGGAGCGGCCGAUGUCAGAUUAGGUAGUUGGUGGGGUAAAGGCUCACCAAGACCACGAUCUGUAGCUGGUCUGAGAGGACAACCCGCCACACUGGGACUGAGACACGGCCCAGACUCCUACGGGAGGCAGCAGUGGGGAAUGUUGGACAAUGGGCGCAAGCCUGAUCCAGCAAUGGCGCGUGCAGGAAGAAGGCCUUCGGGUUGUAAACUGCUUUUGUACGGAACGAAACGGCUCUGGUUAAUACCCGGGGCUAAUGACGGUACCGUAAGAAUAAGCACCGGCUAACUACGUG
rnacentral:rRNA from 1 species